CUAUGCUCAGCCCUAAACAUAAAUAAUUUAAAUAACAAAAUUACUUGCCAGAGAACUACUAGCAACAGCUUAAAACUCAAAGGACUUGGCGGUGCUUUACAUCCCUCUAGAGGAGCCUGUUCUGUAAUCGAUAAACCCCGAUAAACCUCACCACUUCUAGCUAAAUCAGUCUAUAUACCGCCAUCUU
rnacentral:rRNA from 1 species